rnacentral:lncRNA from 1 species
CGGAGGGCGAGAGCCACCUCUCCGCACCUGAGUGGGAAAUGGAGCUCGCCGGACCCCGAGGCCACCCUGUAAGCAGGGUAGUGCCGUUUCCCUGCCCCUCUUCCUCCCCCGGCCCCUCGGCAUCGUUGCCUGAUGGUGGCUUGUCAAUGCGACGGCCCCGUACUCGGGGUGUGUGUCCCAAGCUUUGGAGCCCUCUGUCCCUGAGCAGCCCGCCCGCCCUGUAACCAGGUGUGGGGAGGCUGCAGCGUUGCAGCCGGCUGCUUUAGCCGUCCAGCUGGUGGGAGUGACCCCUCCCUGUCCCGUCAGAGGGUGCAGGUUGAGGUGCUGUUUGUGUGUGGGGUGACCUCCCCGCUCGGUGGGUCGAGGUAGCUCCCUGGGCUUCCAAAGACGAGACGUUGGUGAUGUUCUGCUGCUGCCGGGCGGGCCAGCCUGUAACUCAGGCGUUGGCGGGAGCCUCGUGCUCCGCGGGGCUUCUUGAAGAGGGUGAGGUGUGGGGGUACCGUCCUGUAGGCAGGGCUGUGUGUGCCCCCCGUGUGUGCUUGGUGAGCUGCGUUCUGAGAGACCCCCUGUACUCAGGUGGGAAUGUGGCCCCGGCCUUUCAGAGGCGCGGGGCCGUGAGAUGCGGGGUGGGGCUUGCGCCCUCCCUGGAAUCGGGGCUGGGAUCCCGACUGCGGCCUUUGGCCGUGCCGCCCCGCUGCCUGGCUGCUGAGAGUUGCUCCUGCCGCUGGGGGGGAAACCGAGCUCUGUGGCUCCAGGGGUGUUGUCCACCCGCCUGUAAUCAGGGUCUGGGUGCGCGAGCGUUUGUGCUCUGCUGGCAGCCUGUGUGGGGUGACCGCCCCGCUAGCGGGGUGUGGGUCGAGGUGCCCCGGACUGGGAGAGAAGGAGCCUCCCUCGGCCGUAGGGAUGGGGGCUGCCCUGUAAGUCAGGGAGCAUCUGUGUCCCGGAGUCCCAGGCCCUUUUCAAUGGCGGCAGUGGCCGGGGGUCCCCUGUAAGCAGGGAAGCUGACUCUUUGGCUGCUGCUUUUUGUGUGCCCAGCCCCAUUUGCCCGGUCUGCCCGCCUCUGUGAUCCCCCGCAGCACUGGCUGGAAGUCCGCCGCGUGUCAGUGAGGAGCUGCUGCAGAAGGAAGAAGAAGAAGAAGCGGCGUGGGGAGCUGGGAGGCAGGAGCAAGCAAGAAGAGGAAGCGGAAGCGUGCAGAUGCGGGGGGGAAGGAGAGAGGCUCCCUGGGCAAAGCACCUGUCCCGUUAGCGGGGGCACAGUCACGUUUGAGUUGAGAGCUGCCGGCGCCUUUGGUGACCAGGCUGGCGUUGUGCUGGGCGACCUCCCCGUAAGCGGGGCUCGGGUCUUUGCUGUAGUUGGCCUUUUGCCUUGCUGCUCCUUUGGCUGCCUGGGGAGCGUGGCCCCCUGUAACGGAGGGCGAGAGCCACCUCUCCGCACCUGAGUGGGAAAUGGAGCUCGCCGGACCCCGAGGCCACCCUGUAAGCAGGGUAGUGCCGUUUCCCUGCCCCUCUUCCUCCCCCGGCCCCUCGGCAUCGUUGCCUGAUGGUGGCUUGUCAACGCGACGGCCCCGUACUCGGGGUGCGUGUCCCAAGCUUUG